AUGAGGUGUCUUUAACAGCCAUGGCCCUUAACUGCAGAACAAGCUGAGAGGUGAGAUUUGGUGAAUCAUCUUGUUGAUGAAAGCAAAUUGCUGAAGAAAGCCCGGAAGUUGCAGAGGCUAUCUUCAAAAAUAAUCAAGACUCCGAAGUGUUGAGGUACAAAGGCAUCCCCCAGAACAAGAAUGCAAACCACGAACAAAGCGGCAAACAGAACUAGUAAAGGAUAUCUUUUUUAGAGCUUAUCCACCAGCUGAGGCUGACAACAACAGAAGUUUAGAAGACUUAAGUACAAAGAACAGAUACAUCAAUCAGAGGCAAACGCAUUAGCAUAGAUUUGCCAGUCAAGACAUCCAAGUCUAUUCUUAUCUGACUUCUUGAUAUUCUUCCACGAUCAAAGAGGUCAAGGAUAUAACACUUGUUCGCUAGAAGUUAAUGAACAAACAUAAAGCUACUUGGUAAAGCAGGAGAGGUACCUUCUUUGCUUGAAAUGGCAUGUCUUUUGAGUAUUGAACUACUUGUCAAAAAUCCGUAAAACAGUUUCAUAAGCCAGACGAGCCCAGUAGCAGCUUAUUUGAGCUUGGUUUGAAACUUUAACGAGCUUCAAAAAGUGAGGGCUUUACUCUCCCUCUUUCCUUCCUUAUUUUCAAUUAUACCUAUGUAGAAAAAGGGAGGCCGGAAGUUCACACAAAAAGGUAUCUUCAAGUGAUGAAAUCCAAACUGAAAGCAAUCAUUUCCAUUCUAUGAACCUAAAAUCUCUAGCAAAAACCGGUGCUUGCAACAGUAAUACACACAAAGUAGUUGACAAUUGCCUCAAUUUAAACAUGCAAAUUAUGCAAGAAAUUUCUUGUUGUCACAGAUUAAUUGGUGUACAAAAGAUCA